AGGAUGAACGCUGGCGGCGUGCUUAACACAUGCAAGUCGAACGAUGAACCUCACUUGUGGGGGAUUAGUGGCGAACGGGUGAGUAACACGUGAGUAACCUGCCCUUAACUCUGGGAUAAGCCUGGGAAACUGGGUCUAAUACCGGAUAUGACUCCUCAUCGCAGUGGGUGGGGUAGAAGUUCUUUUGUGGUUUGGAUGGACUCGCGACCUAUCAGUCUUGUUGGUGAGUAAGUGGCUCACCGAAGGCGACGGACGGUAGCCGGCCUGGAGAGGGUCGACCGG
rnacentral:rRNA from 1 species